CAGAGCGGUCCCACCCGCUGCGCCCAGAACGGAGCCCGCGUUUCCGCAGAGCUGGAGCUCCCGGCUCGGGGUCUCUUCCCUCCGCCUUCACGGAACUGCCCCGGAGCCCGCGGCGAGGGCGGCCUCACUGACGCUGCAGGCUCUGGAGGGGCCCCGGAGGCUGAAGCCGCGGCAGUCGUGCGGACGGCGGGCCGGGUACAAAACAAAGAAUCGCUUUGCACAAAGCCAGAAGGGCUACACUGAAAGAAUGAUCAGAAAAGAAUAAUACAUAGGCCCACUGCUAGGCCUCUCACCUGAGAAGUCCAGAAUCGGGAAGACACAGGCUGUAUCAGUUGCACUGCAGCCUUAUUCACAAUAGCCAAGAUGGUGAAGCAACCAAAAUGUCCAUCAACAGGUGAAUGGAUAAAGAAGAAGAGGUCCAUGUACACAAUGGAAUAUUCACCAUGGAGAACAAUGAAUUACUGCUCUUUGAGGCACCACAGAUGAGCCUAGAGAUAAUCAUGGAACAUGAGCGUCUCCACGUGGGGGGCAGGCCGACCCAAUGGCAUUACCACUCGAACUGCUGGGAUUGGCUGACGACUGACGGCACCCGGACUCGAAGACCCCCAUCACCCUCGCCGAGCCCAGGGUAACGCUACAGGUAGCGGUGCCAAAUCACCUCCAUAGCCCGAGUCGCUCUCCAGAAUCGAUGAGCCCUGGAUCUCCUGACGGCCGACAAAGGAGGUACCUGCCUCUUCCUACAGGAGGAAUGCUGCUGUAAACGCCCUCCAUCGCUUAAGAGAAGAACUCCAACGCAAACACCAACAGUCCGCCUCCCCAAUUCCCGAUUGGUGGCGAUCCACCCUCUAUACCUGGCUAACACCAAUCUGAGGCCCCUUCUCAUCUGUAUCUUGCUCAUGUUUGCCC